GGAGAGGUACCGAAGUGGUCAUAACGGGGCGGUCCUGAAAACCGUUAGCGCGCAAGCGCACAUGGGUUCGAACCCCAUCCUCUCCGCCA
rnacentral:tRNA from 1 species